GACGAACGCUGGCGGCGUGCUUAACACAUGCAAGUCGAACGGAAAGGCCCUGCUUUUGUGGGGUGCUCGAGUGGCGAACGGGUGAGUAACACGUGAGUAACCUGCCCUUGACUUUGGGAUAACUUCAGGAAACUGGGGCUAAUACCGGAUAGGAGCUCCUGCUGCAUGGUGGGGGUUGGAAAGUUUCGGCGGUUGGGGAUGGACUCGCGGCUUAUCAGCUUGUUGGUGGGGUAGUGGCUUACCAAGGCUUUGACGGGUAGCCGGCCUGAGAGGGUGACCGGCCACAUUGGGACUGAGAUGCGGCCCAGACUCCUACGGGAGGCAGAAGUGGGGAAUAUUGCACAAUGGGCGGAAGCCUGAUGCAGCAACGCCGCGUGCGGGAUGACGGCCGUCGGGUUGUAAACCGCGUUCGCCUGUGACGAAGCGUGAGUGACGGUAAUGUGUAAAGAAGCACCGGCUAACUACGUG
rnacentral:rRNA from 1 species